UAAAAAUGCUACAUCAUCACUUCCGUUUACCAUUUUACAGAAAGUGACCAAAAUAGAACGAUCUAAAACGUGAGUGCCCAAAACAAAAAUGGUCUAAAAUAACUAGUAAUUAAACUAAAAAAAAUUAUAAUUGAGUGAUCAAAACAGAAAUAAAUUAGGUGACUAAUUUAUAGUUUACCCUAAAAUAAAUCAGAGAAAAUAAUAGGGCGAAAACCUGCAAGUCGUGCCGCCGGGGCAUGGCGAAGGACAGCCACAUCUAUCGUUACACGCAGCGAGUCCUCUAACUUCAACCUUGGAAUCCGCCAUUUUGUACCGUUAAGUGUUCGUUAAAUUGCGUAAAAGGAUUGCGGAAAAGCUACCACAUGGCAAUGUGUCGGAUAAAUGGGAAGAGUUCAUGAAGCUGUGUCGUACUUAUAGUGCAAAAAAGUUACGUGUACCUAAAAUCCUGUAAAUUGUUAAGAGUUUUUGUUCGAAUUUGUCAUCUAUGAAUUAAUGAGAUUUAUUGUCGAUCUUAUAUAAACAAAUCUUAUUCUUACAUUAGUUGUCAAUUUAUGCCAUGUUAAACAUACUAUACCAAACCUCAAUAUAUAUACCAAAAUUUUUAUA